rnacentral:rRNA from 1 species
GAUGAACGCUAGCUACAGGCUUAACACAUGCAAGUCGAGGGGAAACGACAUCGAAAGCUUGCUUUUGAUGGGCGUCGACCGGCGCACGGGUGAGUAACGCGUAUCCAACCUGCCCACCACUUGGGGAUAACCUUGCGAAAGUAAGACUAAUACCCAAUGACGUCUCUAGAAGACAUCUGAAAGAGAUUAAAGAUUUAUCGGUGAUGGAUGGGGAUGCGUCUGAUUAGCUGGUUGGCGGGGUAACGGCCCACCAAGGCGACGACCAGUAGGGGUUCUGAGAGGAAGGUCCACCACAUUGGAACUUAGUCACGGUCCAAAGUGCUACGGGAGGCAGCAGUGGGGAAUAUUGGUCAAUGGACGAGAGUCUGAACCAGCCAAGUAGCUUGCAGGAAGACGGCCCUAUGGGUUGUAAACUGCUUUUAUAAGGGAAUAAAGUGAGUCUCGUGAGACUUUUUGCAUGUACCUUAUGAAUAAGGACCGGCUAAUUCCGUGCCAGCAGCCGCAGUAA